CCUACGGGUGGCUGCAGUAGGGAAUCUUGCGCAAUGGGCGAAAGCCUGACGCAGCAACGCCGCGUGAGGGAAGAAGGCUUUCGGGUUGUAAACCUCUUUCAGGUGGGACGAAGCUUCCAGGGUUAAUAGCCCAUGGGGUGACGGUACCUCCAGAAGAAGCCCCGGCUAACUACGUGCCAGCAGCCGCGGUAAUACGUAGGGGGCAAGCGUUGUCCGGAAUCAUUGGGCGUAAAGCGCGUGUAGGCGGCUUGAUAAGUCCGGUGUGAAACCUUGGGGCUCAACCCCAAGCCUGCACCGGAUACUGUCUCGCUUGAGUUCGGGAGGGGAGAGCGGAAUUCCUAGUGUAGCGGUGAAAUGCGCAGAUAUUAGGAAGAACACCAAUGGCGAAGGCAGCUCUCUGGAACGAUACUGACGCUGAGACGCGAAAGCGUGGGGAGCGAACAGGCUUAGAUACCCCAGUAGUC
rnacentral:rRNA from 1 species